rnacentral:sRNA from 2 species
AACUACUUCUAUAUUUUGUAUUCAAAUGCGGGUCAAUUCGCGUGUUUUCAUCCAACACCGUGGUUGAUGCCUUGGAUCUUAUGAAAUCACUGCUCGCGAAAGAGAACGCACCUCCCAUUCGUCCUUCACUCUCCGCCGAAUCUCCCUCCUUGCUUUUGUUUCCUUCUUCCGCGUUGAUGGCAACGGCCUGUUCCUAAAUACCAAGUCUGGUCGAGUCCUUUGGGUUGGCAAUGUCAGCUAACUGACCAGAACCAAGGAAUCUAGCGCAGCCUCUUCAAUGUUUCUCUAAGUCUUCGGUCCGCGGACUGCUACUUGGGUUGAGCUCAAAUAUUACAUGAAAAUUAUCUUGACAUCGAUUCACCAACUUGGUGACUGACUCCUGGCUGUGUAGCAAUACCGAUAUUCUUCCGAGAACACCGAUAUCAGGAUUUGUUCGCCUUCUUCUCGUUGCUUGACGGGCAGACACAGCAACACGAGUGGCAGGCUCAUAAUUAAUUUUGGAUUAAUAUCAUCGAUUAUCUGGCCGUUUUAAUUGACAUGUCCAUGCCAAAUUUUCUUGCAGAACAAUACGUGAUUAUCCGAGGCCUAGUAGAGAGAAGGAGAGUGUGAAAUUUAGGCAAAAAAACUUCGAGAAGUAAUAUGGCAAGAGAAUGACAUAAAAGUCUUCCGUUGGGGAAAGCCCUGAGAUGUCCAGACCUCUUUGAGCCAUAGAAACAUCCUAGCGAUUUUGCGGAUGCGGGAAGAGGUACAGUUAUUCAACUGGGCUUCAUUUAUAGACUGAUGGAAAGGCCGCCCCUGGAAAUUAAAGGCGUCUCGCGGAUCAAUGGUCUGGCAAGGUAAAUCUGAUGGCCCAGAGUUAUCUGGACGUUAUCACUGGGUGAAUUAGACAUGAGGGCUGAGACUUACGCGGAACAGCAGUCGGGUAUACUCUGGACAAGGGAUGAGUUAACCUCCGUUUGGAACAUGACGUUAAUGUUGGUCUCAAUGACGCCAGGCGAAAAUGAUACCCCUUGCUGAAACUGACGUCAGUGGCACUGUUAGUUCGAGGAUCCUCCCGGGCCAAGGCACAUCGGAUUCUAGAAACAAUUUCACCAACAUUAUCUCACCAGUUUUAUAAACCUGAUGAUCCAAAGCUGUAUAGGAAAGACUGCCAUAUGGGAGACAGCCGUUAGCUUUAUUGCAAUUAACCGUAAAUUCCCAACUCCUUGCGGAACGUAAAGCGGACAAAAUCUUGCUGGUGUUCCAAAAGAG